CCCUUAAAUACCCAUAGGCGGAACUCAGAUUCUCUCUUGGCCUUAGCGCCAUUUUCUCGGACACCUCCGCGCCAUGAGAGCCAAGUGGAGGAAGAAGCGAAUGCGCAGGCUGAAGCGUAAAAGAAGAAAGAUGAGGCAGAGGUCCAAGUAAACAGCUUGUGCACCUAUGGAGGCCACCGCAGCGGAAACGGAAUGUCGGAGGCUCGGGGCGCUGGUACUGGUUGGACUACGCGAUACUGUCGACUCUGCCUCUGGAUCUAGAACGUCCAUGGCCAGCGGAUCGCAAAGACCUGAGAGAUCACGUUGCUCCUAACAGAACAGCCCCCGUGGUCCUUUUCCCUGGGCCUGUGACAUUCUGGGACUAAUGCUGUACUUGUGGCCGAGUGUAAUACGUGUACAAUAAAUCAUCUUUUCUGUAAUAGCUGAA